AUAAAUGUAGCUCAGUGGUUAAACUGUUGGACUACUGCUCUGAAGGUUGUGAGUUCAAAUCCCUGCACUGCCA